CUUCUGGCCACCAGCUGAGUGGCCUCUUUUGUUUGCCUAAUUCUUCAGCAGUUUCUGAGCCUGAAGUUGACUCUGAUCUGAGUCCGAGGACGCCAGUUCAAAGAAGCUCAGGUAUGUCCAACAAGGAGACAGAUGUUCCCUACCCAGUGUGACCAGUGCCAUGAAAUGUGCUUGGGAGGGCAUCUACCCCAGCCUGGUGGAGCAAGAAUCAAGCAAGGCUUCCUGGAGGAAAUGUAGAAGGUGAGGCAAAGGCUUCAGCCCCUACUUCCAUUCCUGGCUAUGCCCUGGAACCUUCCUUACCUCUCAAGCUAGGAUUUGCUUCCCCUUCAUUCUCACUCUUCCCACUUGUUGCAGAUUAACUGGCACAAGGCAGUGCUGCUAAGGUAGCAGCCUUGGCUGUUUUGAGGGGUGUGAUUUGCAGGCCUCUGGCUCCAAAACCCAAAUUGAUUGGUGCAGUGAAUAGAUGCAAUUCCCUUAGCAGGGCUGGCAAAUAAAGGUUUUUUUUACAAA